rnacentral:rRNA from 1 species
GUAGGGGGCGAGCGUUGUCCGGAUUUAUUGGGCGUAAAGAGCUCGUAGGCGGUUUGGCAAGUCGGGUGUGAAAACUCCGGGCUCAACUCGGAGACGCCACUCGAUACUGCCAUGACUCGAGUCCGGUAGGGGAGUGCGGAAUUCCUGGUGUAGCGGUGAAAUGCGCAGAUAUCAGGAGGAACACCGGUGGCGAAGGCGGCACUCUGGGCCGGUACUGACGCUGAGGAGCGAAAGCGUGGGGAGCGAACAGGAUUAGAUACCCUGGUAGUCCACGCCGUAAACGUUGGGCACUAGGUGUGGGGCUCGAUCGACGGGCUCCGUGCCGUAGCUAACGCAUUAAGUGCCCCGCCUGGGAAGUACGGCCGCAAGGCUA